rnacentral:rRNA from 1 species
AUGCAAGUCGAGGGGCAGCAUGGAGGUAGCUUGCUACCUUUGAUGGCGACCGGCGAAUGGGUGAGUAACGCGUAUCCAACCUGCCGCGUGCCCGGGGAUAGCCCCUGGAAACGGGGAUUAAGACCCGAUGGAGUGUAGGUGCCGCAUGGUUCCUGCAUUAAACCGGCACGCGAUGGGGAUGCGUAGGAUUAGCUUGCAGGCGGGGUAACGGCCCACCUGGGCUACGAUCCUUAGGGGUUCUGAGAGGAAGGUCCCCCACACUGGCACUGAGACACGGGCCAGACUCCUACGGGAGGCAGCAGUGAGGAAUAUUGGUCAAUGGCCGUAAGGCUGAACCAGCCAAGUAGCGUGCAGGAUGACGGCCCUACGGGUUGUAAACUGCUUUUAUGCGGGGAUAAAGUGUGCCACGCGUGGCAUAUUGCAGGUACCGCAAGAAUAAGGACCGGCUAAUUCCGUGCCAGCAGCCGCGGUAAUACGGAAGGUCCGGGCGUUAUCCGGAUUUAUUGGGUUUAAAGGGAGCGCAGGCGGGCUGUUAAGCCGGUCGUGAAAUUGC